rnacentral:ncRNA from 1 species
ACAGUACAAACUGAGCAGGCGAUAAACCAUCUGGUUUGUGGGGCCGGGCCGCCAAGCGGCAGCAGAUGGUUUUGAAACGCAUCUGUGGGACAGU